rnacentral:rRNA from 1 species
UACGUAGGUGGCAAGCGUUGUCCGGAAUUAUUGGGCGUAAAGCGCGCGCAGGCAGUCUUUUAAGUCUGAUGUGAAAGCCCACGGCUCAACCGUGGAGGGUCAUUGGAAACUGGGAGACUUGAGUGCAGAAGAGAAGAGUGGAAUUCCACGUGUAGCGGUGAAAUGCGUAGAGAUGUGGAGGAACACCAGUGGCGAAGGCGACUCUUUGGUCUGUAACUGACGCUGAGGCGCGAAAGCGUGGGGAGCAAACAGG